rnacentral:rRNA from 1 species
UACGGGGGGAGCAAGCGUUGUUCGGAUUUACUGGGCGUAAAGGGCGCGUAGGCGGCCAGCGCAAGUCAGUUGUGAAAUCUCCGGGCUUAACUCGGAACGGUCAACUGACACUGCGCGGCUAGAGUGCAGAAGGGGCAACUGGAAUUCUCGGUGUAGCGGUGAAAUGCGUAGAUAUCGAGAGGAACACCUGCGGCGAAAGCGGGUUGCUGGGCUGACACUGACGCUGAUGCGCGAAAGCCAGGGGAGCAAACGGG